AACGAACGCUGGCGGCAUGCCUAACACAUGCAAGUCGAACGAGACCUUCGGGUCUAGUGGCGCACGUGUGCGUAACGCGUGGGAACCUGCCCUUAGGUUCGGAAUAACUCCCCGAAAGGGGUGCUAAUACCGGAUAAUGUCUUCGGACCAAAGAUUUAUCGCCUUUGGAUGGGCCCGCGUUGGAUUAGCUAGUUGGUAGGGUAAAAGCCUACCAAGGCGACGAUCCAUAGCUGGUCUGAGAGGAUGAUCAGCCACACUGGGACUGAGACACGGCCCAGACUCCGACGGGAGGCAGCAGUGGGGAAUAUUGGACAAUGGGCGAAAGCCUGAUCAAGCAAUGCCGCGUGAGUGAUGAAGGCCUUAGGGUUGUAAAGCUCUUUUACCCGGGAUGAGAAUGACAGUACCGGGAGAAUAAGCUCCGGCUAACUCCGUG
rnacentral:rRNA from 1 species